rnacentral:rRNA from 1 species
UAGGGAAUAUUAGAAAUGGACGUAAGUCUGAUCUAGCAACACCGCGUGUGCGAAGAAGGCCUUCGGGUUGUAAAGCACUUUUUGGAAGGAUUAGGAAGGAAUGUACUUCCAGAAUAAGUCUCGGCUAACUACGUGCCAGCAGCCGCGGUAACACGUAGGAGGCAAACGUUAUCCGGAUUUACUGGGCGUAAAGCGCGUGUAGGUGGUUCUGUAAGUAGGGCGUGAAAGCUCCUGGCUCAACUGGGAGAGGCCGUUCUAAACUGCAGAGCUAGAGGAUGGUAGAGGGAGGUGGAAUUCCGGGUGUAGUGGUGAAAUGCGUAGAUAUCCGGAGGAACACCAGUGGCGAAAGCGGCCUCCUGGACCACUUCUGACACUCAGAUGCGAAAGCUAAGGUAGCAAACG